rnacentral:lncRNA from 1 species
CUUGGUCAACACAAGGACUGUUGAGGCUGUGGUGCUGUCGAUGGAGCCUCCAGGUGAGUAGAUUUUCUUCACAGGAUUGUGGACGAAUCUCUGAAGGAAUCUGUGUGGUAUGAUAACCAGUCUUGAUUUCUCUGUUUGUAUUUAUUUAAGGAAGGGGACAUGAACGAUGGUAUGUGUUCGUGCACUUGCCUGUGUUUGUACAGAUGUAAACCAGAGAUAGUGUCACAUCAGACACCUUCCUAUUUCAUUCUCCACUCUAUUUCAUUUUGGUUUUUCGACACAGGGUUUCUCUCUGUAAUUCUGGUUGUCCUUCAACUUGCUCUGUAGACCAGAAUGGCCUCAACACAGGAAUUUCCCUCCCAAUGUGCACCACCAUGUUCAACAACAUAUAUAUAUUUGUAUAUACAUAUAUAUCCUCAAUGUAAUCUGUCAAGUUCGUGUGAUGUUGCUGUUGUAUGUCUGUCUUCAGGGAUGACUGGCUGGCACUAAGUGACCAGUUGGUGUGCUUUUCCCUGGGGAGGACCACCUCUAGUAUAAGAAAAUUUCCAUAUGAAACCUAGUACUACAUCAUUCAGAUAUAAAAAGGGAUGAAGUUCUUGGGCUGGAGAGAUGGUCCAGUGUUGUGUUCUUGGGAGAAUUCACGAUGCCAGCUGCUGACAGCACUGCAUCUGAGGGACCAGAGGUCUCAGAAGCAUGCGAUGAGACAGAAAACGACCACUCAGCAUUUCCAUGUUAGUUCAAUGAUGAAUUUUUUUCAGAGCAACUGAAAUAAAGGCAAGUCUUAUUGGGAAGAGGCUUUAAGAAGCAGUUUCAUGAAAUUGGGGGAAAAGAUGAUGGAAAAGCAGGACCCAUGAUGGAGGGAAGCAGACGUGGUAAUGACAGGCAUGGCCGUGAGCAGCUGUGGUGGAUGAAGGAGUAUUCAGCCCUGUUGCUGCCUCCACUGCUGUGUGCGGCAGCCUGGAGCUCUCACAGUCCCCAGACAUGCUCCCCUACCUGGCUCUGAACACCACCUCUGAGACAAAGAAUGGCUUUUUUCUGGAUUAUGUCUCCUCCAAAGACUUCCAAGGUCCGUGCUACCACCAGGGGCCAUCUUGAUGGUCUGUGAUAUCCAUAGUCUGUGCUGCAGCCAGAUGCCAUCUUGAAGCCCAAGAUUCAUGCUGCCACUAAGGUCCUGGUUGCUGUCUGUGAUCUGAGCUGCCACCAGAAACCAGGUGUAUAAGGGAGAAUGCACGAGCCCCACCACCACCACCCUCUUCAGUAGGUACAGGACAGACCCAGACACCAAAUUCUCAGCACAAAGGAGAAUUUAUUU